UGGGGAAUAUUGGACAAUGGGGGCAACCCUGAUCCAGCGACGCCGCGUGUGUGAAGAAGGCCUGCGGGUUGUAAAGCACUUUUAGUGGGGAGGAAAACCCCCGACCUAACACGUCGGGAAUUGACUUAACCCAAAGAAAAAGCACCGGCUAACUCUGUGCCAGCAGCCGCGGUAAUACAGAGGGUGCAAGCGUUAAUCGGAAUUACUGGGCGUAAAGCGUGCGUAGACGGUUUAUUAAGUCGGAUGUGAAAUCCCCGGGCUCAACCUGGGAAUUGCAUUCGAGACUGAUCAGCUAGGGUACGGAAGAGGGAAGCGGAAUUUCCGGUGUAGCGGUGAAAUGCGUAGAUAUCGGAAGGAACAUCAGUGGCGAAAGCGGCUUCCUGGUCCAGUACCGACGUUCAGGCACGAAAGCGUGGG
rnacentral:rRNA from 1 species